GGCGAAAUAAAUAAUACAACUUUCAGCAACGGAUCUCUUGGCUCUCGCAUCGAUGAAGAACGCAGCGAAUUGCGAUAAGUAAUGUGAAUUGCAGAUUUUCAGUGAAUCAUCGAAUCUUUGAACGCACCUUGCGCUCCUUGGUAUUCCGAGGAGCAUGCCUGUUUGAGUGUCAUUAAAUUCUCAACCAUGACUUUGUUGACAUGGCUUGGAGUUGGGGGUUGCUGGCUUGUUUGUCAGCUCUCCUGAAAUACAUUAGCGGUGGUUUUUCAAGGCCUUCCGACGUGAUAAUGAUCGUCGUGGGGCGGAGCAUCAACGUCUGUCUGCUUCUAAAUCCCAGAUGCCUUAGCUAGACAUCAUUUCGAACGCUUGACCUCAAAUCAGGUAGGACUACCCGCUGAACUUAAGCAUAUC
rnacentral:misc_RNA from 1 species